rnacentral:rRNA from 1 species
AUUGAACGCUGGCGGAAUGCUUUACACAUGCAAGUCGAACGGUAGAAGGGGCAACCCCUCGAGAGNGGCGAACGGGUGAGUAAUAUAUCGGAACGUGCCCAGUCGUGGGGGAUAACGUAGCGAAAGUUACGCUAAUACCGCAUACGAUCUACGGAUGAAAGCGGGGGAUCGCAAGACCUCGCGCGAUUGGAGCGGCCGAUAUCAGAUUAGGUAGUUGGUGAGGUAAAGGCUCACCAAGCCAACGAUCUGUAGCUGGUCUGAGAGGACGACCAGCCACACUGGAACUGAGACACGGUCCAGACUCCUACGGGAGGCAGCAGUGGGGAAUUUUGGACAAUGGACGCAAGUCUGAUCCAGCCAUUCCGCGUGCAGGAUGAAGGCCCUCGGGUUGUAAACUGCUUUGUACGGACGAAAAGGUCUCUCUUAAUACGGGGGCUCAUGACGGUACCGUAAGAAUAAGCACCGGCUAACUACGUG